ACGCGCGCUGGCGGCGUGCUUAACACCUGCAAGUCGAACGGAAAGGCCCUGCUUUUGUGGGGUGCUCGAGUGGCGAACGGGUGAGUAACACGUGAGUAACCUGCCCUUGACUUUGGGAUAACUUCAGGAAACUGGGGCUAAUACCGGAUAGGAGCUCCUGCUGCAUGGUGGGGGUUGGAAAGUUUCGGCGGUUGGGGAUGGACUCGCGGCUUAUCAGCUUGUUGGUGGGGUAGUGGCUUACCAAGGCUUUGACGGGUAGCCGGCCUGAGAGGGUGACCGGCCACAUUGGGACUGAGAUACGGCCCAGACUCCUACGGGAGGCAGCAGUGGGGAAUAUUGCACAAUGGGCGGAAGCCUGAUGCAGCAACGCCGCGUGCGGGAUGACGGCCUUCGGGUUGUAAACCGCUUUCGCCUGUGACGAAGCGUGAGUGACGGUAAUGGGUAAAGAAGCACCGGCUAACUACGUG
rnacentral:rRNA from 1 species